UCGAAGUGGGAAGGCAUAAACAGCCAGGAGGUUGGCUUAGAAGCAGCCACCCUUUAAAGAAAGCGUAAUAGCUCACUGGUCGAGUCGUCCUGCGCGGAAGAUGUAACGGGGCUCAAACUGUGCACCGAAGAUGCGGAUUUGUAUAUCCUUCGGGAUAUAUAAGUGGUAGGAGAGCGUUCUGUAGGCCUGCGAAGGUGACCUGUAAGGGUUGCUGGAGGUAUCAGAAGUGCGAAUGCUGACAUGAGUAGCGAUAAAGCGGGUGAAAGGCCCGCUCGCCGAAAGCCCAAGGUUUCCUGCACCACGUUCAUCGGUGCAGGGUGAGUCGGUCCCUAAGGCGGGGCCGAGAGGCGUAGUCGAUGGAAAAUCGGUCAAUAUUCCGAUACCUCGUUUUGAUGCUAUGGGGAGACGGAGAAGGUUAUGCAGGCCGGGUGUUGGAUGUCCCGGUUUAAGCGUGUAGGUGGAUCUUCUAGGCAAAUCCGGAAGGUCAACACCAAGGCGUGAUGACGAGUGCCCUUGUGGCGCGAAGUUGCAGAUACCACGCUUCCAGGAAAAUCCUCUAAGCUUCAGUCAAGACGAGACCGUACCGCAAACCGACACAGGUGGGCAGGAUGAAAAUUCUAAGGCGCUUGAGAGAACUCGGGUGAAGGAACUCGGCAAAUUUGCACCGUAACUUCGGAAGAAGGUGCGCCCUAAGUAUGUGAAGCCCCUGCGGGUGGAGCAGAACAGGGUUGCAGUGAAAUGGUGGCUGCGACUGUUUAAUAAAAACACAGCACUCUGCAAACACGUCAAGUGGACGUAUAGGGUGUGACGCCUGCCCGGUGCCGGAAGGUUAAGUGAUGGGGUGCAAGCUCUUGAUCGAAGCCCCGGUAAACGGCGGCCGUAACAAUAACGGUCCUAAGGUAGCGAAAUUCCUUGUCGGGUAAGUUCCGACCUGCACGAAUGGCGUAACGAUGGCCACACUGUCUCCACCCGAGACUCAGCGAAGUUGAAGUGUUUGUGAUGUUGCAAUCUACCCGCGGCUAGACGGAAAGACCCCGUGCACCUUUACUGUAGCUUUACAUUGGACUUUGAUGAGAUCUGUGUAGGAUAGGUGGAGACUUUGAAGCGGAUGCGCUAGCGUUCGUGGAGUCGACGUUGAAAUACCACCCUGAUGUCAUUGAGGUUCUAACCUAGCCCCGUUAUCCGGGGCGGGAACCGUGUAUGGCAGGCAGUUUGACUGGGGCGGUCUCCUCUC
rnacentral:rRNA from 1 species